GGGGAUUGGAAAAUGGUUCUGACUCAGCCACUUUGCAGUAUCUGCUGCAAACAGGCUAUAACAGCCAGGAAGUUCACAUUGACCAGCCCAAGGGGAUAAGGAAGAAUAAAGAAACCGGAGAGGAGGCUGCACCCUCUGAGGUGGCGGGAGAGAGAGAUGGGCAUGGUGCCACAGGCCUGGAAAUUAGGCUGCUUGCUCAGUCAACCUCAUCUAGGUCUCUCUGGUCUGUGAUUCUGGCCAUGAAAGCUUAUCAACAGAGACUUUUGCAAUUUCAAUA